GGGCGAGUGGCGGAAUGGCAUACGCGCACGGCUUAGAACCGUGUUCCGAAAGGAUUGGAGGUUCGAGUCCUCUCUCGCCCACCA
rnacentral:tRNA from 10 species